GGUAACUCCGGGGCAUGAGACGGGGGAAUACGGGGGGGGAGAGGGUUAAGCGGAAUGACUGGGCGUAAAGCGUGCGCAUGCGGCGUAUUAAGGCAGAUGUGAAAUCCCUAGGCUCAACCUAGGAACUGCAUUUGAAACUAAUAAACUAGAGUAUCGUAGAGGGAGGUAGAAUUCCAGGUGUAGCGGUGAAAUGCGUAGAUAUCUGGAGGAAUACCAGUGGCGAAGGCGACCUCCUGGACGAAAACUGACGCUCAAGCACGAAAGCAUGGGGAGCAAACAGGAUUAGAUACCCCUGUAGUC
rnacentral:rRNA from 1 species